rnacentral:tRNA from 1 species
UCCUCGAUAGCUCAGUUGGUAGAGCAAUGGACUGUUAAUUCAUUUGUCGCUGGUUCGAGCCCAGCUCGAGGAG